UAACAAUCGUUAGGAAGAGCGUCGCCCUCCACGCCUUCUGAGCAGCUCCAGUUUCGUAGCGCCCUCGUGUGUCUGGAGGAAGAAACGUCCUGGAUUUGAGUUUGACAGUGGUACUAGGGCACAGGGAGAAGGAAGUCGGGUCAGGCAUUGGAACUUUUUACAGGUGCCAGGAAUGAAUGUGAGAACUCAAGAUGCUUUCUUGAUGCUUUCUUGAUUCUCAGAGGAGACUCAAUGGCGGCGCGUGAAAGGAUCCAGAAGAAACCACAAGCAGUCGAAAUCCAAGGCACCUGUCUUCUCCAAAAGUUGUUGAAGUCACUUCCAUGUCUGCAUGCCCACCAGCUAUGGUUGUGUAUAGCCAUGUGAAUUAACUAUUGGAGAAUUAUCAUCUAUUUUGACUUUGGAAACUAUUGAUACGGUCUAAGGGUUUUGGAAUGAUAUAGUCUAGGAGUCUUGGUCAGGUUUGUUGUUUCUGCCAGCCGAAGAAUUAAAAGGCAGGAAAAAUCUGAAGACCAGCAUGGAGCAGCAGAGAAAUCUUAAGCAUCGUGGACAGAAUUAGGAGUAGAAGGAAGUCUGGACCCCAGCCCCUGGAACAGUACCACUCUCUUUCAGGACAGGUCCAUCUCUCUUUAACUGAACCUUUCUGGAAAAGCUCUCACAGUAAUGACCAGAGGGGUGUCUCAAAGGCGCUUCUAAUAUUGGCCAUGUUGACAGUGAAGAUUAGCUAGCCAUCACAGCCAGGGUUUGGAAACCACCUGUAAAAGCAUGUUCAUUCCAGUGAGCAUCUGAGUUUCGGAUACGUGUGGACAAUUCACCAUCACUGCCAGGUACCCAGGUGGGCCGGAAGAAAAUCUGCCUGAAACACUCCCUAAGAGUCCCGCAGUGAGAUCGCAUAAGGAAGUACAGCGUUGUGGCAAGACUGACCAGUGUCUUUACAGAUACAAUCAUAUUGGGAUGGAUCUGAAUCCAAAAUGACUGGUGUACUCCUCAUUAGAAGAGGAAAAUUUGGGCAUGUGCUGUUACAGAAGGAAACCAAUGCAGAGCUACAGGCAGAGACACUGAAGUGACGCACUUCAAACCAAGGGACUCCAGGGGCUACUAGAAGCUGUGUCAAGGAAGAACCUUCCUUCAGGGACUUAGUCUCAGUCUUGCUGACAUGGGGACCUUGCACUUCUGCUUCCAGAGCCAUGACAGGAUGCAUUCUGACGUUUUAAGCCAUCCACCUUGAUUAUGGAAGUCCGAGAAAGUUAUUAUAGAUUCAGCCCAACUAUUCAUUGAACUGUGUAGCAUAGACACACAUGUUAGAAAAUAAAGUAUCUGAAGCCUCCUGGGGUGUCUCACUGACAUCAGCUUAAAGCUGCUCAUCAUGAGGAUGGAUGCGAUAAUCUGAGGAAUGGAUGCAGUCACAUCCCACCCUCCCCAAGCGAGUUCUGUAGGCACCACGUUCACCAGCAGAGAGAGCCCUCUGUGAGGCCCACGUGCAGAGUCCUUGUGUCAAGAGCUGCUGAACAGCAGGAAGCCCGUGAACGUGGUAUCGUCAUCCUCGUCUGCAAAUAAGCCAUUGAACCUCUCUCCUCCUGUCACCUGCAUCCACACUUCGUCCCCGAGUUUCAGCUCCUGCACAAUGCCACCAGACGCCUGGUCCUCAGAGCUCAUGUAACUGUCCUUGGUGUGCAGGACUUUUACCCCGUUUUUGACCAAAGAUACCUGCACAUUCCUGGAGAACACAGUGAUAUGGUGUGGGGUGACAAGCAGCUGGGGACAUCCUUCAUCCCUCA
rnacentral:lncRNA from 1 species